AUGAAACUCUAUUAUUUUUAUUUUUUUUUUCGUUUCUAAUAAUUCAACCUCACAUUCAUUUUCUUCAAUAUCUUCCCUGAAAUUCAGUGAGAGUAUAAAUUCCAAGCGAUUUUUUAAAUUUGUAUAUCCGCUAAGCAUUUGGUUGCUUCGGUGGUACUUUACGUGAAUAUUCUGGGUAUAGUUCAAGAUUUGGUUUUAAUCAUUAAAUUCAGGAAAACAGGGCGCACCAAGAGCUGAAUAGAAUAUUUGGUUACUAAAAGCAUCGCGUCACUUCAAACACCUUUAACGGAUCCUGCGAUCCAUCGAUUGGCCUAAAAUUAUGUAGACUAGACCCGGUGGAAAAGUCUCUCUUCACCACAAUAGAUAAUUGAAAUAAGAAUAUCCAUCCUACCAAUUCAACAACAAAUUUGCGGAUGUUGCAGCACCCGUUUCUCAA